rnacentral:rRNA from 1 species
ACGCUGGCGGCACGCCUAACACAUGCAAGUCGAACGAAGUAGCAAUACUUAGUGGCAGACGGGUGAGUAACAUGUAGGUAUCUGCCCUUUGGCCUGGAAUAACACGAGGAAACUUGUGCUAAUACCGGAUAAGUCUUUACGGAGAAAGCUUUAUGCACCAUUGGAUGAGCCUGCACUUGAUUAGUUUGUUGGUGGGGUAAUGGCCUACCAAGACUGUGAUCAAUAGCUGAUUUGAGAGGAUGAUCAGCCACAUUGGGACUGAGACACGGCCCAAACUCCUACGGGAGGCAGCAGUGGGGAAUCUUGCACAAUGGAGGAAACUCUGAUGCAGCGAUGCCGCGUGAGUGAAGAAGGCCCUUGGGUUGUAAAGCUCUUUCGUCGGGGAAGAAAAUGACUGUACCCGAAUAAGAAGGUCCGGCUAACUUCGUGCCAGCAGCCGCGGUAAUACGAAGGGACCUAGCGUAGUUCGGAAUUACUGGGCUUAAAGAGUUCGUAGGUGGUUGAAAUAGUUGGUGGUGAAAUCCCAGAGCUUAACUCUGGAACUGCCAUCAAAACUUUUCAGCUAGAGUAUGAUAGAGGAAAGCAGAAUUUCUAGUGUAGAGGUGAAAUUCGUAGAUAUUAGAAAGAAUACCAAUUGCGAAGGCAGCUUUCUGGAUCAUUACUGACACUGAGGAACGAAAGCAUGGGUAGCGAAGAGGAUUAGAUACCCUCGUAGUCCAUGCCGUAAACGAUGUGUGUUAGACGUUGGAAAUUUAUUUUCAGUGUCGCAGGGAAACCGAUAAACACACCGCCUGGGGAGUACGACCGCAAG